GACAGAGGGUGCAAACGUUGUUCGGAAUUACUGGGCGUAAAGCGUGUGUAGGCGGCUUCGCAAGUCGGAUGUGAAAGCCCCGGGCUCAACCCGGGAAGUGCACUCGAUACUGCGGAGCUAGAGUGUCGGAGAGGUUGGUGGAAUUCUCGGUGUAGAGGUGAAAUUCGUAGAUAUCGAGAGGAACACCGGUGGCGAAGGCGGCCAACUGGACGAACACUGACGCUGAGAGACGAAAGCUAGGGGGAGCGAAUGGG
rnacentral:rRNA from 1 species